CCUACGGGUGUCAGCAGUGAGGAAUAUUGGUCAAUGGGCGGAAGCCUGAACCAGCCAAGUAGCGUGCAGGAUGACGGCCCUACGGGUUGUAAACUGCUUUUAUACGUGAAUAACGCGCCUUACGUGUAGGGCUUUGCAUGUACCGUAUGAAUAAGGACCGGCUAAUUCCGUGCCAGCAGCCGCGGUAAUACGGAAGGUCCGGGCGUUAUCCGGAUUUAUUGGGUUUAAGGGGAGCGUAGGCCGCAUGUCAAGCGUGCUGUGAAAUGUCCGGGCUCAACCCGGGCCUUGCAGCGCGAAUUGGAGUGCUUGAGUCCGCGGAAAGCAGGCGGAAUGCGUGGGGUAGCGGUGAAAGGCUUAGAGAGGACGAAGAACUCCGAGUGCGAAGGCAGCUUGCUGCAGCGGAACUGACGCUGAUGCUCGAAAGCGCGGGUAUCGAACAGGAUGAGAUACCCCUGUAGUC
rnacentral:rRNA from 1 species